rnacentral:rRNA from 1 species
CUGACCCGUUAGCCGACCACCCCCCCCCAAAAUACUUUUCCUUUUCCCCCCCCUAAACCAUUCGCCAUAUGAAGUAUUGGAGAAAGAAACCUACCCCCCGCGCAAUAGCCAAGAGUACUAUACAGGAACACUGAAAGAGUAUUAACUACUCAAGCAUGAAAUAGCAGGGCCUAAAACCCGUACCUUUUGCAUCAUGGUUUAACUAGCCCUGCCCAGGUAAAGUGCACUAAAACCUGCCCCCCCGAACCCAGACGAUCUACCCCAGAGCAAUCAUAAGGAUGCACCCCCUCCUGUGGCAAAAGGACGGGAAGACUUUGAGGUAGCGGUGAAACCGCAACCGCGCCUGGGCAUACGUGGUUGCUCAGUAAACGAAUCUUAGUUCACCCCUAGUCAACCCCCUCCGACUCCCCCCCGGAACUGUCUUGACUAGGAGUUAUACAGAUAGGGCCCAGCCUGUCUGUACCCGGAUACAGCCACCUUUGGAGGACUAGCAUGAACCCCUUUUCCCCGUGGNCCCUUAAGCAGCCACCCCCAAAAACCGCGUCACAGCGCCCCCCAAAAAAUAACCCACACCCCUACAAUCCCCCAACAUGCACCUGAGCCACUCUAGCCCAUCUCUAGAGGGGACACUGUUAAAACUAGUAAUUUGAACCCCUUCUCUCCCGCACACCCUUGCACCGGCACGGACCAAACCACCGGUAAUUAACACCUCAAACUACAUUACACCCCUGUCACCCCGACACAGGCGUGCCCCAGAGACCUGGUAAAACGUUGCAGAAGGAACUCGGCUAAUCUUGCCCCACCUGUUUACCAAAAACAUNGCCUUUAGCCCCACAAGUAUUAAAGGUCCCGCCUGCCCAGUGACCCACUUUAAACGGCCGCGGUACUCUAACCGUGCAAAGGUAGCGUAAUCACUUGCCUCCUAAAUAGGGGCUCGUAUGAACGGCUAAAUGAGGGCCCAACUGUCUCCUGCAACAGGCCAAUGAAACUGCUCUCCCAGUACAAAAGCUGGGAUAAACCCACAAGACGAGAAGACCCUGUGGAGCUUUAACUACACCACCAAGCCUCGCGCCCAUGGUGCCACCUUUAAGUUGGGGCAACUACGGAGAAUUACCAAACCUCCAUGAAACAGGCUAAACCCCCGUCUUUCAAAGGCCUACAAGCCAAAGACAAACCACCACCAGACNNNGCACAGCUGAGCAUCGAACCAAGUUACCCCAGGGAUAACAGCGCCAUCCCCCUCAAGAGUCCCUAUCGCCAGGGGGGUUUACGACCUCGAUGUUGGAUCAGGACACCCACGGUGUAGCCGCUGCCAAUGGUUCGUUUGUUCAACGAUUAAUGUCCUA